AGAGCGAACGCUGGCGGCAGGCCUAACACAUGCAAGUCGAGCGCCCCGCAAGGGGAGCGGCAGACGGGAGAGUAACACGUGGGAACGUACCCUUCAGUUCGGAACAACCCAGGGAAACUUGGGCUAAUACCGAAUACGUCCGUAAGGAGAAAGAUUUAUCGCUGAAGGAUCGGCCCGCGUCUGAUUAGCUUGUUGGUGAGGUAAUGGCUCACCAAGGCUACGAUCAGUAGCUGGUCUGAGAGGAUGAUCAGCCUCACUGGGACUGAGACACGGCCCAGACUCCUACGGGAGGCAGCAGUGGGGAAUAUUGGACAAUGGGCGCAAGCCUGAUCCAGCCAUGCCGCGUGGGUGAUGAAGGCCCUAGGGUUGUAAAGCCCGUUUCGGCGGGGAAGAUAAUGACGGUACCCGCAGAAGAAGCCCCGGCUAACUUCGUGCCAGCAGCCGC
rnacentral:rRNA from 1 species